UUAUGUUUUCUUUUCCUUUUUGCCAAGAGACUAAAAGGGAGCGAGGAGAAAAAAAAAACCACAAACAACUAUUUGUUUGUCUUGUCUAAUUUAAUUUAUGUUAUUCAUCAAAUAGACAGGUUAUUUGGGAAACCAGAUGGAUCCAGGCUAAAAUCAUCUGUAUUUCCAGCGUGUGGGAAACUGUCCGAGCGGUCACACGAGAAGCGUGGGGUGUGUUUGGUGCGCGAUGCUCACAAGGGCGGCUGCGCCUUGUCUGUCCUGGAACCUCCAUCGGUCAUCCCGGACCCCAUAUGAGCGUUAAAGGACAAAAAGCCCCCCAGGCACCCGGCAUCCAGAAGCCAAAUUUAUGGCCAACUCCAGCGAUGCUUCUCCAGGCAGCAGAGACAUAAACCAGCUGUAAUUAAAGAAAACACCACGAAAGAUUGCACCGCAGAGGGGAGGGGCAAGAAGCAAAUCUUACAGCUUUGCAAGAGAUUCAUUUUAUUUUCAUCUAAUUCUUUUCCCCUGCUCCUCAAGGCUGCUUCUCAUGCAACGCGCUCUGUGCUGCUUCCCUUACAGUAAUUUUUAAUGUUUGACAAUGUGCGUGGUGCCGCAGGAUCAGCGCCCGAGAGCCCAGCAAGCCUGGAGGUGGCAGUUGUGGGGUGGCUCACCGAGUGUGUGUGAUCUUUGGAGAGGAGAUAACGGCUUGAUAACGGCUCCCGAGGUGCUGCUGCAAACAGCCCCCAGCCCAACCUGUAGCCCCAUCCCCUUCUGCUGGGACGGGAAAAGGCAAGAAAGGAAAUGUUAGACGAGGUCCACGCUGUUGGCAAAGCCCCCAUCAGACCCAGCAUCACCAAGAGCCACAUCCUACGGGGGGAAGAGCGUCAGUCCCAACAUCUGCUGGGCCGUUGUUUGUCUCUUGUUCCCAUUCCUGCUCUCCCUCCUCCUCUCCUUUCAUCCCUCCAGCUGCACAGGCCUAAAAAUAAGGCUGGAGCUGGACUCGAUCUGCUUGUCACCAGCCCUUCGUCAUCCCGGGUGUGGGGACGGUACCCGCUGCUGUCCAGGGGUCCCCAUGGGUCCCUGUGCUCAACCCUGAGCAUCUCCUGGGCAUGGAGCAGGACAAGCAUCACGUUGGCACUUCCCCACGUCCCCCCGCUGCUUCCCCAAGUCGCUAUGAAUAAAUCAUUGUUUUAUAAAAGAGAAGCAGCUGCUUUUUUUCUUCUUCUCUUUCUUUUUGACGCUCCAUCCAUCCCCACACGAGCCCUUUGGCACAUGCUCGAACGCAGGAAGCCCCAUUGAGGCCCCCGGAGCGCAGCAAUUGAUACACAGAGCUCCCCAAAUCCUAUUCAGGGGCCGCUUUUCUGCACGAGCAGCCUCUAACCAGCUCAUUCACUGCUCUUUUUGUGCCGGGGUUAAGUGGUUAAGUGUGUGUGCAGCCCAUAAAAGGCCUUUACUCCAUGAAAAGCUAUAUUUACAUUGUAAUCACCAAAGAACUGUUUAGGCAGUCAAUAGCCGGGAUGGAGAGGGGCGGUGGGGGCUCAGCGGCGUGUCCCCCCGCUCUCCCGCUGAGCCCCCCGCAGCAGCACAUUUGUGGGAUUAUGUCCCCCCGCGCCAGCUGCCGGGGGGCCGUGAAACCAACGCUCUUUGUCUGGGGCUGGGGACAGCACAGGGACCCAGCGUCCUGCAUCCCGGUGGCCCUGGGAUGGCACCCUGGGGUCCCACUGGUCUCAGGGCUGAUCCCACAUAUUGGGAUAGGAGCCUCUGUCCUACCACUGACCACCCUGUGCAAAGGGACUGAGCCCCCGUUACCCCCUCAUUAACAAAUCUCCCCUUGUUAUCAGCCAAGGCCUUCCCCAUACCCUUGUGUGUGAAGUGCAAGCUAAAAUUAUAUCACUUUAACAAGAUUAAUUGAGCACAGCGAAGAACGGCGAAAGCCAAAUGAAUUCACCGAGAGCGAGGCAAGGGCUUCCCUUUCCACCAGGAGCAAUUUCCACGUAAUCAAUUAGAUGAUGUUCCAACUGAUAACCCUGGUGGGGAACACCCCUGUUCUCCCCACACGGGUGUGAAUAUUCAUCACGGCUGUACCUUAAGAGUAAAUACAGUAGAAAUCCCCCCAAAUUCCCCUGCAAACACCCACAGGGUUUGCCCAGGAGGGACCAGCACUGGGGUGGCCAGUGGGGAGGGAAUGGGGUGGGAUGGGAUGGGGAUACGGAUGGGGAUGGGAUGGGGAUAGGGAUAGGAAUGGAAUUGGGUGGGGAUAUGGAUGGAAAUAGGAUGGGAAUGGAAUGGAGAUGGGGAUGGAGGUGGGAUAGGAAUGGGAUGGGAUGAGAAUGGAGGUGGAGAUCAAGGUGGAAUGGGGAUGGAGACGGGAAUGGGGUGGGAUGGGAUGGGGAUACGGAUGGGAUAGGAGAUGAGAAUGGAGACAGGAAUGGGAUGGGAUGGGAUGGGAUGGGAUGGGAUGGGGAUGCUGCUGCUGCCGGCCACGUGGCAGAUCCCUGUUGGGAUCAGUUGCAAACUGUGCUGAUCGCACUGCAAACCGCACAGGGUGAGAUGGCCACAGCCCAUGGGACAUUGUCACCAAGCCCUGGGGAGCUGCUGGGGACGUGUGUGCACCAGCACCAGCCCGUGGCCCCGCAUUGCUGAGCCGCUCGCAUCACCGCGAGGUUUGGUUUUCCCUCUGCUUUGGCUCCUGCCCGGAUUUAUCAAAGGCUCCGGAGCAGCGAGUGCCCUUCCUCCCCCGGCCACGCACAUUGUUCAAAUUAGUGCCUAAAUGAAAGGAUAUUGUUGGUUCCUGUUGGGAGAUAAUAACCUCGGUAGCGGAGGGAAUUUCACCCAUGCAGAGAGAAUUUGCCGGGCUGCUCCCGCCAGGAGAGCCCCACGCCGGGGUCCGUCUCGCCGGGACCCAAACCGGCUGGUGGGAACGGACCCGCCAGGAAGCGGGGGUUUGUCUUGGCAUGCUGCUCUAAUUGCUGAAAACUCUGCUUUCUGACCUCAAAAAUGUGCCACCGCUU